GUUCUGUGCCAGCUAGUUUUGAUCCUAAUGUUUGGUGGGUGUGAACAUCCUUUCUCAAUUUCAUUCUUAGGUUGACAGCAUUGAUGUGAGACGAGAAUGCAUCCUCAGAGGUUUGACCGUGUACCUGAAUGAGGAUCCACAAAAAUUUGUUAAGGACUACAAGAGCGAUGAUGAGUGCAUUGAAAGAGACCUGGCAGAAACAGUCUUUGGCAUCUAUGUGAUUCGACACAAUGUUGCAGACCCUGAUGAUUACCCUGAGGAUAUUGGAAUCGUUUUGGAGGGGGUAGAGAUUCACACCCUGACAUGGAAAACCAGGAGGCAACCUCGGGUUCGGUGCUUGCCCAAGGA